rnacentral:rRNA from 1 species
ACGCGCUGAAUUUAAGCAUAUCAGUAAGCGGAGGAAAAGAAACUAACUAGGAUUGUCUCAGUAGCGGCGAGUGAAGAGACAUCAGCCCAAGAUGAGAAUCUGCGAUGAGAGAUCGUGGAGUUGUAAUCUCGACAGUCAUUCGCUUCUAAAUUCCUUGGCUAACUUACUUGGAAAAGUAGGCCAUAGAAGGUGAGAGCCCUGUGUGCUAAGGAAUAAGGAUUUGCGAAUGUUUGGAAGAGUCGGGUUGUUUGGGAAUGCAGCCCUAAGUGGGAGAUAGACAUCUUCUAAGGCUAAAUACCGGUGGGAGACCGAUAGCGCACAAGUACUGCGAAGGAAAGAUGAAAAGAACUUUGAAAAGAGAGUUAAAAGAUGUGAAAUCGUUGAAGCGGAACUGAUCGCAGCCCGUCCAUGCCUUAGUCUCGUAUGAUGCAACAAGUCCACCUAUGCUCAAACAUAGAGACCAAAUGCAAAAAUACUGCUGAGGAUAAUCACAGAAUCAACUUUAUAUUAGGGAGAAAAGUUUUAACUGAGUUUUGUAGGACUGUAACCUAAUAUUGAGUUGAGGAUGAUUCUGUGAAAGCGACUGUGAUCGACCCGUCUUGAAACACGGACCAAGGAGUCUACCUCACAUGCGAGUGGGAGGGUGUUAAACCCGAACGCGUACUGAAAGGAAGUAUAAGAUGCGAAAGAAAUUGCAGCAUCAGCGAGCGUAAGCUUAGCAAGAGCAUGUGUGGUAGGACCCGAAAGAUGGUGAACUAUGCCCGAGUAGGGUGAAGCCAGGGGAAACUCUGGUGGAGGCUCGUAGCGUUACUGACGUGCAAAUCGUUCGUCGAACUUGGGUGUAGGGGCGAAAGACUAAUCGAACCCAUCUAGUAGCUGGUUCCCUCUGAAAUUUCUCUCAGGAUAGCUGGGACAGAGCAGUUUUAUCAGGUAAAGCGAAUGAUUAGAGGACUCGGAGGCCAGCGGCCUUUGGCCUAUUCUCAAACUUUAAAUUGGUAAGAGCCUUGUUGUUACUUAAUUGAACAAUAGGGAUCAAUGGAUGUCCUUAGUGGGCCAUUUUUGGUAAGCAGAACUGGCGAUGAGGGAUGAACCUAACGUCGGGCUAAGGUGCCCAAGUCCACGCUCAUGAGACACCACAAAAGGUGUUGGUUCAUUUAGACAGCAGGACGGUGGCCAUGGAAGUUGGAAUCCGCUAAGGAGUGUGUACCAACUCACCUGCCGAAUGAACUAGCCCUGAAAAUUGAUGGCGCUGUAGCGUGGCACCGAUACCCGACCAUUGUCCUAGAUUUGAAGGGACAAUGAGUAAGAGGGCGUAUACAUCGUGUUGAAGGCUCUGACGUGAGUCUGGCUCGAACGAUGUUUAGUGCAGAUCUUGGUGGUAGUAGCAAAUAUUCAAAUGAGAACUUUGAAGGCCGAAGUGGAGAAGGGUUCCGUGAGAACAGCACUUGAUCACGGGUUACUCGAUCCUAAGGCAUAGGGAAAUUCCUUGCAAUACAAGCAGUUUACUGCGAAGCCGAAAGGGAAUGAGGUUAAUAUUCCUCAAGCUAGGAAUGGAGGUUAAGUGGCAACACAAACGAACCCGGCGACGUCUGCGCUUUCCCCUGGAAGAGUUAUCUUUUCUUCUUAACAGUUCGACUCCUUGGAAUUUGGUUUAGCCAGAGGUAAGGAGGAGGAACUGGCAGAGCAGUCCAUGAUUGGACUGUCAGGUGCGUUGGCGAGGGCCCUUGAAAAGCCGGGGGAGAACUCUCAUUCUAGGUCGUACCCAUAACCGCAUCAGGUCUCCAAGGUU